GGAGGGUUGGCAGAGUGGUUGAUUGCACCGGUCUUGAAAACCGGCAAGGGGGCAACCCCUUCCAGGGUUCGAAUCCCUGACCCUCCGCCA
rnacentral:tRNA from 1 species